UCCGGUUUGUCACCGGCAGUCUCAUUAGAGUGCCCUUUCGUAGCAACUAAUUACAAGGGUUGCGUUCGUUGCGGGACUUAACCAAACACUUCACAGCACGAGCUGACGACAGCCAUGCAGCACCUGUGCACGUUGUACUCUUGCGAGCCUCAUUGAUGUUUCCACCAACUAAUCCGUGCAUGUCAAACCCAGGUAAGGUUCUUCGCGUUGCUUCGAAUUAAGCAACAUGCUCCACCGCUUGUGUGAGCCCCCGUCAAUUUCUUUGAGUUUUAGCCUUGCGACCGUACUCCCCAGGCGGCACACUUAUCAAUUUCUCUACGACCAAUACAGGGUAAAACCUGCAUCGAUCUAGUGUGCAUCGUUUAGGGCGUGGACUAC
rnacentral:misc_RNA from 1 species